AGUGGACGCUGGCGGUAGGCCUAACACAUGCAAGUCGAACGGCAGCACAGUAAGAGCUUGCUCUUACGGGUGGCGAGUGGCGGACGGGUGAGGAAUACAUCGGAAUCUACUUUUUCGUGGGGGAUAACGUAGGGAAACUUACGCUAAUACCGCAUACGACUUACGGGUGAAAGCAGGGGAUCUUCGGACCUUGCGCGAUUGAAUGAGCCGAUGUCGGAUUAGCUAGUUGGCGGGGUAAAGGCCCACCAAGGCGACGAUCCGUAGCUGGUCUGAGAGGAUGAUCAGCCACACUGGAACUGAGACAUGGUCCAGACUCCUACGGGAGGCAGCAGUGGGGAAUAUUGGACAAUGGGCGCAAGCCUGAUCCAGCCAUACCGCGUGGGUGAAGAAGGCCUUCGGGUUGUAAAGCCCUUUUGUUGGGAAAGAAAAGCAGCAGGUUAAUACCCCGCUGUUCUGACGGUACCCAAAGAAUAAGCACCGGCUAACUUCGUG
rnacentral:rRNA from 1 species